rnacentral:rRNA from 1 species
GACGAACGCUGGCGGCGUGCUUAACACAUGCAAGUCGAACGGAAAGGCCCUGCUUUUGUGGGGUGCUCGAGUGGCGAACGGGUGAGUAACACGUGAGUAACCUGCCCUUGACUUUGGGAUAACUUCAGGAAACUGGGGCUAAUACCGGAUAGGAGCUCCUGCUGCAUGGUGGGGGUUGGAAAGUUUCGGCGGUUGGGGAUGGACUCGCGGCUUAUCAGCUUGUUGGUGGGGUAGUGGCUUACCAAGGCUUUGACGGGUAGCCGGCCUGAGAGGGUGACCGGCCACAUUGGGACUGAGAUACGGCCCAGACUCCUACGGGAGGCAGCAGUGGGGAAUAUUGCACAAUGGGCGGAAGCCUGAUGCAGCAACGCCGCGUGCGGGAUGACGGCCUUCGGGUUGUAAACCGCUUUCGCCUGUGACGAAGCGUGAGUGACGGUAAUGGGUAAAGAAGCACCGGCUAACUACGUGCCAGCAGCCGCGGUGAUACGUAGGGUGCGAGCGUUGUCCGGAUUUAUUGGGCGUAAAGGGCUCGUAGGUGGUUGAUCGCGUCGGAAGUGUAAUCUUGGGGCUUAACCCUGAGCGUGCUUUCGAUACGGGUUGACUUGAGGAAGGUAGGGGAGAAUGGAAUUCCUGGUGGAGCGGUGGAAUGCGCAGAUAUCAGGAGGAACACCAGUGGCGAAGGCGGUUCUCUGGGCCUUUCCUGACGCUGAGGAGCGAAAGCGUGGGGAGCGAACAGGCUUAGAUACCCUGGUAGUCCACGCUGUAAACGGUGGGUACUAGGUGUGGGGUCCAUUCCACGGGUUCCGUGCCGUAGCUAACGCUUUAAGUACCCCGCCUGGGGAGUACGGCCGCAAGGCUAAAACUCAAAGGAAUUGACGGGGCCCCGCACAAGCGGCGGAGCAUGCGGAUUAAUUCGAUGCAACGCGUAGAACCUUACCUGGGUUUGACAUGGAUCGGGAGUGCUCAGAGAUGGGUGUGCCUCUUUUGGGGUCGGUUCACAGGUGGUGCAUGGCUGUCGUCAGCUCGUGUCGUGAGAUGUUGGGUUAAGUCCCGCAACGAGCGCAACCCUUGUUCACUGUUGCCAGCACGUUAUGGUGGGGACUCAGUGGAGACCGCCGGGGUCAACUCGGAGGAAGGUGGGGAUGACGUCAAGUCAUCAUGCCCCUUAUGUCCAGGGCUUCACGCAUGCUACAAUGGCCGGUACAGAGAGUGGCGAGCCUGUGAGGGUGAGCGAAUCUCGGAAAGUCGGUCUCAGUUCGGAUUGGGGUCUGCAACUCGACCUCAUGAAGUCGGAGUCGCUAGUAAUCGCAGAUCAGCAACGCUGCGGUGAAUACGUUCCCGGGGCU